rnacentral:tRNA from 1 species
AAGUAAGAAGCGAAUAUAUUGCAUUCAGUUUCGACCUGACCUUUGGUAUCAUUACCCUUACUUU